UCAUGAAAUAAUUGUAUGUGUCGUGAUCAGUGGCAUCUCAUGAACAGAUCUGCUGAAAUCGUCAUUGAAACAGCGUCACUGUCUAUUCCAUCUCCACUGCCACCCUUGCCUAUGUUUCCAGAGAACAGAAAUGAGAGCUUUUCAUCUGUGUUUCCUCAGAGCCUGACACAAUGUCUGGCACAGAGUGCUCAGACAAGGCUGAGAGGACGUCAAGGGCAGAAAAGAGUCCUGCUGACUAUCCUAGGGGCAGGCAACUUUCAGCCUGGACUCAGAAGACCUGCCCUUGCCCAAACCACCGGGAAGAGUGGGACCAGUGUGAGCCACAGCACAUGCAAGAGAUACACAGUAAGGAAGACUAGUUGUGAGGUGUAUGGACCCCAGACAGAGUUUGCUUUGUGACCUGCUGUACAACCCAACUUCUGGCUUAGGGCUUGGUUCUCGACAAGAGUUCAGUGAUGAAUGAAUGAAUGAAUGAAUGAAUGAAGACCUGGUUCCUGUUCUUGAGAAACUCAACUCUUCUAAGGAAGAAAUGAAGCCUACUUCUCUUGGGCGCCUGUAUGUGUUGGACAUAAUUUUAGGCUCUUCCACAUACAUCAUGGAAUCUUCUAAAACAGCCUAGAGGAGGUUGCAAUGAGCUGAAAUGGCACCACUGUACUCCUGCCUUGGAGACAAGAGCAAGACCUCGUUUUAAAAAAAAACACCAACAAUAAAAAACAAACAAACAAACAAAAAAACCAGCCUAGAGAAUAAGUUUUAUUUUUUCAGCUUUACAGAUAGGAAAUUGGGGCUUAGAGAGGCAAAGUGACCUGUCCAAGAACUCAUAGCUGUUGAAUAAGGGAACUGACAUUUGCACUGAGGUCUGUUGACUUCCAGUGUGUGCUCUUCUUGGAAACAUUAUUAUUUCAUUUCAGAGCUACCCAAGACAGAUGUGGAUGAAGUGGUACAUGAGCUGGGACUGGCCUGUGAGAAGGAAGCUCAGAAAGGCUUCACAGAAAAAGUAACAUCAGAGAAAGCUUUUGGAGGAUGAGUAGGAGUUCACCAGACUGAGAAGAUGUGGAGGCAUGGUUAGAAGAGGAGAGGCAAAUUGUCUACCUAGAAGGUUCCCUAUAGGGAUUGGUGGGAGGCUGCCCCUCCCACAUGUGCUCUGUGGCACUGCCUCUCUGUGGAGCUUGACUUCCUUUCCCUCUUUGGGAGGACGGAAGAUGAAAGCCUCAUCUCAUGCAGGCACAUCACUGCCAAGAUGCCAGAAAAUCUCUGUUGUGGGCCUCCUAUCCUGGUGGCAGAGCCAGCUGUGCUUCUGGAAGGAAGGAAAGGUGCUUAGGGAUCAGCUGUGAUGAGAAGUUUCCCCUCUGAGUCCUCUGAAGAAGACAGGGGAGGGAAGAAGGAGCCGGAACGCUCGUCUUUAUCUAGCCAGAGAAAGAUGGGGUUGGGCAAGUUGUCUCCAAGGACUGUGACGAGAUGCCCUCUCUCCCUGGCUUAUAAAGCAGCUGGAGAUUACUAUAUCCCCUGAGGCUGUGAACAUGCUUUAGAAAUCUUUUCUGGGCCUGGUGUUUGAGGACAGGCAGAUAUUACAUUUUUCUGGGGUGGGAGGGCAGAACAGGUUUUCCAUAGAUUCUUGGCUUUUGAUUGAUGGUCAGACUCUGUGAAUUCAUUAUUUUGCUGAAACUGGGUACAAUGAAGUCCAGCUCUUACUGAGCUCAUCAGGGUCCGAUUAGAAUCACAGGUUCAAGGAGGUCAGAAGGAACCAGCAGAGGCCCUCAAGACUUGUGGCUUUUAAAUUGUAUGUGUGUUUUAAUCAGCAGAUACUUAAAAACAAAGCCUGAAGAUCUUAUUCUGAAGCCCCUUGUGUGUAACAGAUAAAAGCAGAGCAGCUGUUUGCAGUGAAGUGGGGAACUUAAAGACCAGGGGUGGGGCUCACACUUCUAGUCCCAACACUUUGGAAGGCCAAGGCGAGAGGGCCACUUGAGCCCAGGGGCCACAUAGUGAGACUUCAUCUUCACAAAAAAUUAAAAUUCAUCUGGGUAUGGUGGCAUGCACUUGUAGUCCUAGCUACUUGGGUGGCUGAGAUGGGAGGAUUGCUUGAGCCUAGGAAGUUGACACUAAAUUUUGAUGGCACCACUGCACUUUAGCCUGGGUGACAGAGCAAGACCUUGUCUCAAAAAAAAAAAAAAAAAAAGAAAGACUGGGGUCUUGCUAUGUUGCCCAGGCUGGUCUCAAACUCCUGGGCUCAAGUGAUUCUCCUGCGUUGGCCUCCCAAAGUGCUGGACUUACAGGCAUGAGCCACUGCGCCCAGCCACUCAGCUUCUUUUGACCCCACCUCUGUCCCUUCAGGGGUAUUCAUAGAGCCCCAGUUCUCCCCAGCACACCAGUAUCUCUGGUCCCCUCCCACCUUUGAGUUUUACUAGUGGGACUGAGUCCCUGAGAGGGGAAUGCUUUCCUUGUGGUUAUAUCAGCAGUGGUUGUGUGGGGUGGUAUGCCCCAAAUCCCUGGACAGAACUCAGUGUGGGAGGGUCUGUUCACCUGCAGUGCUGGCUUUGAUGCCACUUCUCCAGGCUUCCUGUCCAGGCCCGGGGUGCAUUCAGGAUCCAAGACUUUGGGCUCUGAGCCCUGCUUUCCAACAGAAUAAGGGAAACUCCACCCAUAGGGUUAGUCCUGUCCCUUUUGCAGGGAGGCAAGCUGAGGCCCAGAGAAGGCCAGGUUCCAGGUUAUGUUAAUUCUGACCUGUUAGUGCAGAACUGGGCCAGAGCUGCCUGGGGGUCCGUGCCUCCAGGAUCUUUGCUGGCCAAGACUCAGUUGGUUGAGCGAGACCCACCCCUGAGCCCUGGCAAAUGGCCAUCUGCUCAGGCCUUGCCCAGCUGGGGUCUGUGAGAAGCAGGUUCCGAUUCUGAAGAUGCCAGGGUGUUACUAACGGGCUGUCGGUUGCAAUCAGGGCAGCAGCCUUUCAUCUCCCGCCAUCCCCUGUUGCUCAGGGCAGCCUCGCACCAGCUUCCUGUCCUGGCUCUGUCUGUCUGUCUGGGUUCAGUGCCCCUCUGGAGCUGGGACCCAGGAGGGGCUGGAGGGAGGAGGCCUGGCUGGAAACCACCGUCGAGGCCCGGGCUCUGAGUCCAAGUAUGGAACUUACCGGGGCGGGCCCCGCAGUCCAUCCCUGGGCCCCUGCCAGGUGAGGCCGGGCCCCUGUCUGAGCCUCGGCCUGGAAAGCUCCAUCCACUCCAGUGAGGCCUGCCUGAGAUUACCUAGGUGUUCUGGUGACUUCUGAGGGCCUCGCAUGAAAGAUAACGCCCAAAUCAACAAAUCUGCCAUUGUGGCUUUGAAGAGACUGUUUCAAUCACUUUAUUUUGUCUUUAUGUCAGGUUUGCCAGAUGGCUUGGGUCUUUCUGAGGUCCUGUACCGAGGGGGCGCAGAGAGAACUGGUGCGGCUUCAAAGCUCCUUUUUAAUCUUUAGCAACAUCACAGCGGCUGGGAAACUGCCUCGGCUCCCUCAAGUCUCUCCCACAAAAGAGGCGCGGCCGAGGCUCUAAUGAAAGCCAGAUAAAGGGAUGGCUGGAAUCAGAAACAGAGGGAAAAGAGCAGUCGUUAGUCUUUCUUGUAGCUGUUUCAAAAGAAAUUCUAAGACAAAUUAUGGCUUUGGGUGUUUUUCUAAAAGGACUGCAGCAGGGAGAGGAGGUGGGGGAGGUGCUUUGACCCCUCAGCACCCUUCCCCUUGCAUGAAAGGCAGAGGAGACUGAAAAAAGGCCGAAAUACAACAAUAAACUUUCUGCGUGUGCGCGUGGGGAUGAAAGGCGUGCUGGCAUAA
ensembl:lncRNA